GGCCCAGUGGCCUAAUGGAUAAGGCAUCAGUCAAUAGAGCUGACAAUUGUGGGUUUGAGCCAAGCUGGGGUUG